AUCCACCUCUGUUUGCUUCAACUUCGUUCUUGCUCUUCUAUUCUGGAACCAAACUUCAACUUGACGAGGCCUUACGUUAAGCUUCCUUGCCAAGUUCUGUUUUUGCUUAAGAUUGAGAGUGCUCUGUUGCUUGAAGCUUUCUUCUAACAGAGCAGAUUGUACUUUGGUGAGCCUAAGUUUCUUCUUUCCAUUUGAAGCAUCAUCAUCUUCAUAAUAAUCUUCAUCAUGACUUACUCUACAAGAAAUUACUCUUUCUACUUCUGUUACCUCACUACCAAUAUCUCUUUCCCUUUUCACACUGCCAUUUGAAUACGACGAAGCAACAGAUAAUUGAUCCUUAUUUUCCGUCUUCAGAUCUACCAUCUGAUGAUCACCGGAAGAAAGGCUUAAAUUCAGAGAGGGCUCAAAACCGAGAUCGGAUUUAACUGCAGCUACUUGUCCGUCUUUUCUUGAUGUCUGAUUCACCGUUGAUGAAUAACCUAAUCCUAAAUCAAGACCGGCACUGUCAUAUAUACUCUCCAUGAUCAGCGAGAAAUCAAAUAUAAUUAGUAGUAAUUCUGAGUUUUGUUGAAAUCUAUAAAAUGAAAAGAGAGAAAUUGUACUUGAUAUUCUG
rnacentral:misc_RNA from 1 species